UAGAAAUAAGUUUUAAAAUCAAAUCCUUUCGUGUUCGACGCAGGAAUAGCACAUGACAAGGGAAAAUGAUUUGUACUGGUACAGAGUUUAUCGGGCCAGGACUCUAUCUCACAACUCAGGAAAUCAAACAAAUAAUACCAGUACACUAAAUGUGGAUAGAACAUUGAAUGAACCAUAACAGAUCCAAGGGAUUUUAAAGUAACAGAGUAACCAAUGUUGAAAUGGAUUACUGCUAUUCAGUUAUACUUUACUGAAUUUGUGUUCUAGUUAUGUGUUUCAUAACUGUUUGCAGUCAUCUAGACAAGCCUAAUUAGUGUUCGAAACAACCAAAUGUUAUGCUAGAGUGAGCUACUGCCAGCAAUGAGUGCUUCUAGUUAGGCACAGAGUGAGGCACAGGAUCAAAUGCCAUCUAUUCUGCAGCAUAUUUAGCUUGUACACAGGUGCACAGCCUUUUAUCCGAAAUUCCGGAAACUGAAAAGCUCCGAAACCCGGACAUUUUUUCCAGGACUUGAACCGAAACGAUCCACGGUCAACCCAGUGCCGCCCGCGGCCGGACGCACGCAGCCCCAGCUCCGCGAUGUUGGGAGUCGGCGGCCACAGCGCUCCGGAGCUUACGGCACGGCGACCCGGAAAGGCAUUGCCCGCUCCCCGCCUCUCCGUCCAGAAAGAACUGCAGAUGCUGGAAAAAUCGAAGGUAGACAACAAUGCUGGAGAAACUCAGCGGGUGAGGCAGCAUCUAUGAAGUGAAGGAAUAGGUGACAUUUCGAGUUGAGACCCUUCUUCAGACUGAUUAUGUUGUAAUAAAGUU